CCAAACUUGGUCAUUUAGAGGAAGUAAAAGUCGUAACAAGGUUUCCGUAGGUGAACCUGCGGAAGGAUCAUUAAAAAAAAAAAGGGUCAAGAACGGGGGUGCGUUCCCCGUAUCUCGAGCCCCAUGUGAGACCAUACUACAGUUUGUUUUGGUGCGCCAGCUCCCUCUGGGCUGGGUGCCGGACUUCGUUUUGAAAACCCCACCCCUUUAAACCAGUGACGUCAGAGUCGUUUUUUCUGUAAACUUGAAAAACUUUCAACAACGGAUCUCUUGGUUCUCGCAUCGAUGAAGAACGCAGC
rnacentral:misc_RNA from 1 species